GGAUAAUGCAAGUGUUUAACAGAUGCUUCACUAUUAAAAUAUUUUCCCCCCAAGUCUCAAAUAUUGAAGAAUCUCUAACCAGGGACACCAGUCCCAACGAAGACCUUGGGCGAUUUCAAAGUGCGGGCACCUCGAUUCCCCGAAUCUGUAGUGUGGCUGGUAUCGGUGUUUCCCUGGUUUAACUAGCCUGCUUGUGGAAGUGACUCUGACCGUUCCCUUAAGAAUCUUUAAUGCUCUUACAUGAGAUGAGCCUCAGAACAAGCUAAGAACCCUCUGAAAGAACAUCAAGCCUGGAAGGUGACAGAAGGAGCAAUGUGUUCUUGAAGAUGUCACCUCAGCCCACCUGCUCCAAGAACAGUGCUUCUUGCGACACUCUGAUGGCUCUGCAUUCUUUUCUGUACCAGGAAGGCGCAGAUCAUUCAUGGGGAAGUAAAACCGAAACCAGUCCUCUCCACCCCCUGCGGGUCUUCACUUUCCCAGUCUACAUCUGCCUGUGACUCCAGAAAGACAAACUGCAGAUUGGCCAAGUGCCUUUCAAAUUGUUUUUUACUGGAUGAAGAAACUCAACCAAGAAAAUAUAUGUCAAUUCUUGUAUAUGGGACAAUAUUAGCUGCUGUGAUUUUUAAUACUAGCAUAAAAUAUAAGAAUGUUUUUAUUACUGUGACAUUGUUUUUUUCUAAAUGAAUGCAUAGUGUAACAAUUGGUGUCAAAAAGCAUUGAAUUUUUUUCAAAUGGAUUAAGCUGGAAUAAUAAAGUGUAUCUAUGAGAUGAUUUCUGUAAACUCUGACUUGCUGAGAAAAAAGUGAAAAAGCUUUUUCUGGAAGAAACAUGGCAACUUAACCAUUAUUAAUCUGGACUAAAUAAAACAGGAAACUGCUUCUUUA
rnacentral:antisense_RNA from 1 species